GAUGAAGAACGUAGCGAAAUGCGAUACGUAAUGUGAAUUGCAGAAUUCAGUGAAUCAUCGAGUCUUUGAACGCACAUUGCGCCCCCUGGUAUUCCGGGGGGCAUGCCUGUCCGAGCGUCAUUGCUGCCCUCAAGCACGGCUUGUGUGUUGGGCCUCCGUCCUCCUCCCGGGGGACGGGCCCGAAAGGCAGCGGCGGCACCGCGUCCGGUCCUCGAGCGUAUGGGGCUUCGUCACCCGCUCUUGUAGGCCCGGCCGGCGCUUGCCGACACAUCAAUAUUUUUUCCAGGUUGACCUCGGAUCAGGUAGGGAUACCCGCUGAACUUAAGCAUAUCAAUAAGCGGAGGA
rnacentral:misc_RNA from 1 species